ACCAUCGAUCUCUUUCUAUCCGGUUUCCUUAUCAUCUCUUUCUAUCUUGUUUCCUUAUCAUCUCUUUCUAUCUGGUUUUGUAAACCUGAGUAAGCAAAUUCCAUUGUUAUGAUUCUUCAUCGUUUUAAUAGAAACGUACUUCAUCCAAAUUAAAAUUUAGAGCUUUUUCAUGGCCAAUAGAUUACAGAUCUAUUCCAAGUAAUGCAAUCAAUCCAGGGAAGAAGAACUCAAACAAAGGUUGAAUUCAAAAUCUCUCUCUCUUCUCUCUCUUGCGUGAGAGCAGGCGCAGAUUUUUCCAGAUCUUGAGAGAGAUAGAGAGGGAGAGAAUCGUAUCGGAGAAGAAGAAGAAGACGCCGGAGGAGCUGAAACAAUGAUUACGAUCCUAUACCUUACAGCUGUAUCCACGUAUUUCAGCUACGGCUUGCUCUUUGCCUUUGGUCAGCUCCGCGUUUACUCCCGCCUUCUCUUCGAUUGGUGGCGCACCAACAAUCUCCAGGGAUACGCACCGAUCUGCUUGGCGCAUGAGGAUUUCUACAUCAAACGAUUGUAUCAUCGUAUUCAGGUUUCUUCUCCAAUUGCGGUCCUAUCCCAUCAACUCUCGGCCGGCUUACGAAACUCUGUCAGUUGCGUCUCAAUAACAAUAGCUUAUCUGGAGAAAUCCAAAGGUCUUUGACUGCUAGGCCGCAACUGCAAGUUCUGGAACUAACCGCGAACAAUCCUCUCACUGGAGAUAUUCCUGUUAAUGGUUCCUUUUCACUUUUCACACCUAUCAGUUUUGCCAACACCAAGUUGAAACCCCUUCCUGCAUCUCCACCGCCUCCUAUCUCCCCUUCAAUCUUUAUACUAUGUUAUACUCGUUAGAAAGCUAAGUACAAUUCAUGUUUACAGAUUGCUUAAGAAACAUGGUUAUUUUUUAAAUAAUGUUAAUGAGACAUGGUGUACUUUACAGGGUAGAUUGAAAUUCUAAGCAAUCUCUAAUAAAAGUGUCAGUAAAAGUUCAUCAAUUUGAAAGUUAAGAUGUUCAGAGGCGUGUGAAACUACUGAGCAUCUUCAAAUUAUUCCAGACUGAGAAGGAGAUGGAAGUGUCAUCGUGGGAGCUUUCUCAAGGUGGAAGGGUGGUAAAUUGGUGAUGUUCGCUAGUACAUCUCUUGAAGAUUGCGGACAUAUAUUAGAGUUGGGGUGUACCACUGAAGCCAGGCCCGAUCUUGCACUUGAACCUGAAACUGAAGGUUGAAAUGAGUUUGGUGUCAUGAAAUGACCAGUAGGAUUAUUACUCAGGGGUUUUUCCCAUAUGGUGAGAUGAUGAACUGGUGUGAAACAUGCGGUGAUCAAAUUCUACAACAGAGGAUUUUAUCUUUACAAAUCUAAGAACACAGACGAUGAUGCUUCCAUCAGAGUCUUGACAGGAUGUAAAAACGUGCUCGGCCAAUGAACCCCAUAAGAAAAAAGCCUUACGUUUCAUCACGAAGCUCAAAAGCAAGUUUCUUGUUAGGCUUAUUAUUGGCUUCGAGGUCCUCCAAUUCACCCAAACUCACAGUUUGACCAAUAACCUCUGCAUAAUGAACAAUAUAAGGUAUAUAGAAUAUUUAAUAGAACAAUUGUAAAUAGAUACUUACCAACAAAUAUGUGUGGAUUAGCUAACCCACUGUGGAUAUCCUUAAACUUAACCAAGGUCAGGAAGCUAGCAUCUGCAACAGGGUCAUUGUCCAUGACCAUGGUUCCAUUGAUGAAUGACAUCUUGUAAAGAUGUGUGGUUGGUCUGAAUUGACCACUUGCAUAACUAAGACUAAAUGUCUCAAUGAAAACCCAGUUACCAAUAAUUGAUUGACAUGUAAGAUACGUAAUUAGUGGGGAAAAAUAUUUGGAUAUCACAAAGUUUCAACACAAAUCUCGGAUAGGAUCGGCGAAGAAGGCAAGUAAAUCUGUGUUUAAUUUAUAUUUAAUUGUUGAAUAUUCACAUUUAACUCUGUUUCGAUUUAUUGAUAUGUAAGAUACGAAAAUGGUGGAGGAAAAGAUUUGGAUAUCAAGAGGUUUCAACACAAAUCUCGAAUAGGAUCGGCGAAGAAGGCAAGAAAAUUGAUAUGUAAGAUAUAAACAUUUGGGGGAAUGUUUAUAUUGAUCACGAUUAAUCUAGUGGGUAUAAAUGAAAUGGGCUUGGACUUUGAUCUGUUAGUGAUGUUUAAAUUUCGAAUCCAGUCUGUUUUUUAUUUUUUAAAAUUAACUCAAUGGCAAUCUUGUAAAUAAGUCUGAAGUUGAGGAUUUAUUUUAUAGAUGUACUUGGAAAAUGUAUAUAUAGAUUGUUACUUUAUGAUU